rnacentral:rRNA from 1 species
UACAGAGGUCUCAAGCGUUGUUCGGAUUCAUUGGGCGUAAAGGGUGCGUAGGCGGCGCGGUAAGUCGGGUGUGAAAUUUCGGAGCUUAACUCCGAAACUGCAUUCGAUACUGCCGUGCUUGAGGACUGGAGAGGAGACUGGAAUUUACGGUGUAGCAGUGAAAUGCGUAGAGAUCGUAAGGAAGACCAGUGGCGAAGGCGGGUCUCUGGACAGUUCCUGACACUGAGACACGAAGGCCAGGGGAGCAAACGGG